AUUGAACGCUGGCGGCAGGCCUAACACAUGCAAGUCGAGCGAGCGGCGGACGGGUGAGUAAUGUAUGGGGACUGCCCGAUAGAGGGGGAUAACUACUGGAAACGGUGGCUAAUACCGCAUACUAUCGGAUAACCCAUAUGGGAUUAGCUAGUAGGUGGGGUAAAGGCUCACCUAGGCGACGAUCUCUAGCUGGUCUGAGAGGAUGACCGCCCACACUGGGACGGGGAACGGGCCCAGACCCGUGCGGAGGCAGCAGUGGGGAAUAUUGCACAAGGGGCGCAAGCUUGAUCAACCCAGGCCGGGGGUAUGAAGAAGGCCUUAGGGUUGUAAAGUACUUGCGGCGGGGAGGCGUUACCCGAAGAAGAAGCACCGGAUAACUCCGUGCCAGCAGCCGCGGUAAUAC
rnacentral:rRNA from 1 species